UUUUAGAGAUUAGAGGACGUUCACACAUGUGCUUUCUAUCAGGCCUGCAAUACAUUCGGUGAAGAUUUCGGUGAAAUAGCGUAAAAGGGGAUGAGCAAUGAAGAUUUAAUGAUUAAGGGGAGACACCUUAACUUUCAACGGAUUACAGAUACAAGAACCAUGUAGAAUUUUGCCAUUGUUUAAGGAAAGCAACCUCACUAUCUUUAGAACUGAUCACUAACAAUGGAACUUUACCAGAUAUAGUUAAGUCUUUAUAAAUGACAAGUCUUCCAACAAUAGAACUUUGGUUCCACAUGAUCUAGGGGAGACAACUUCACCAUCACUAGAACUGUUCUGUCUACCUAAAAGUCCUGUCAUUUGUAUCCCUCAGGCUUACCAUGUAGUACUACCAUGUUCAG